rnacentral:rRNA from 1 species
CGGCAAGAGCUCAGAUUUGAAAUCUGGCGCCUUCGGCGUCCGAGUUGUAAUCUGUAGAGGAUGCUAUUGGGUAGCCACCGGUCUAAGUCCCCUGGAACGGGGCGUCGCAGAGGGUGAGAAUCCCGUAUGUGACCGGAAGGGCGCCCUCCACAUAGCUCCUUCGAC